rnacentral:rRNA from 1 species
GAGAGCCUCGAUUGAUGGCUCGUGAGGCCUUGGGAUUGGCUUAGGAGGGUUGGCAACGACCCCCCAGAGCCGAAAACUUGGUCAAACUCGGUCAUUUAGAGGAAGUAAAAGUCGUAACAAGGUUUCCGUAGGUGAACCUGCGGAAGGAUCAUUACCGAGUGAGGGCCCUUUGGGUCCAACCUCCCACCCGUGUUUAUUUUACCUUGUUGCUUCGGCGGGCCCGCCUUUACUGGCCGCCGGGGGGCUUCACGCCCCCGGGCCCGCGCCCGCCGAAGACACCCUCGAACUCUGUCUGAAGAUUGAAGUCUGAGUGAAAAUAUAAAUUAUUUAAAACUUUCAACAACGGAUCUCUUGGUUCCGGCAUCGAUGAAGAACGCAGCGAAAUGCGAUACGUAAUGUGAAUUGCAAAUUCAGUGAAUCAUCGAGUCUUUGAACGCACAUUGCGCCCCCUGGUAUUCCGGGGGGCAUGCCUGUCCGAGCGUCAUUGCUGCCCUCAAGCCCGGCUUGUGUGUUGGGCCCCGUCCUCCGAUUCCGGGGGACGGGCCCGAAAGGCAGCGGCGGCACCGCGUCCGGUCCUCGAGCGUAUGGGGCUUUGUCACCCGCUCCGUAGGCCCGGCCGGCGCUUGCCGAUCAACCCAAAUUUUUAUCCAGGUUGACCUCGGAUCAGGUAGGGAUACCCGCUGAACUUAAGCAUAUCAAUAAGCGGAGGAAAAGAAACCAACAGGGAUUGCCCCAGUAACGGCGAGUGAAGCGGCAAGAGCUCAAAUUUGAAAGCUGGCUCCUUCGGGGUCCGCAUUGUAAUUUGCAGAGGAUGCUUCGGGAGCGGUCCCCAUCUAAGUGCCCUGGAACGGGACGUCAUAGAGGGUGAGAAUCCCGUAUGGGAUGGGGUGUCCGCGCCCGUGUGA